AGCCUUGUGAUGAACACAUAGCGAACUAUUCUUUCGCCUUUUACUAAAGAAUACCGUGUGUUCAUCAUAUAAUGAGGCAUCUGUCAAUUUUUGGAAGGGUUUCUUCUUGCUGGAAGGAG
rfam:Cicer arietinum chromosome Ca4, whole genome shotgun sequence.